rnacentral:rRNA from 1 species
GAUGAACGCUGGCGGCGUGCCUAAUACAUGCAAGUAGAACGCUGAAGGAAGGAGCUUGCUCUUUCCGGAUGAGUUGCGAACGGGUGAGUAACGCGUAGGUAACCUGCCUGGUAGCGGGGGAUAACUAUUGGAAACGAUAGCUAAUACCGCAUAACAGUAGAUGUUGCAUGAUAUCUACUUAAAAGGUGCAAUUGCACCUCUACCAGAUGGACCUGCGUUGUAUUAGCUAGUUGGUGAGGUAACGGCUCACCAAGGCGACGAUACAUAGCCGACCUGAGAGGGUGAUCGGCCACACUGGGACUGAGACACGGCCCAGACUCCUACGGGAGGCAGCAGUAGGGAAUCUUCGGCAAUGGACGGAAGUCUGACCGAGCAACGCCGCGUGAGUGAAGAAGGUUUUCGGAUCGUAAAGCUCUGUUGUAAGAGAAGAACGAGUGUGAGAGUGGAAAGUUCACACUGUGACGGUAUCUUACCAGAAAGGGACGGCUAACUACGUG